GUGCACAUUCCCCAAAUUGUUACCCCCUUAUUCCCAAAUGGGUAGCUAUUCUAACAUGAUGUGGCACUUUGUGAAGUUAAUGUGAAAGUUAUGAAAUGACUCAUAGCUGGGUCAUAUCAUAAUUUAGUUUUGAUAUUGUGCAUAUCAGUUUUUCAAUGGCUAGCAUUUGUAGCAGUCCCUCAUUCUGUUGUGUUGCUGGUAUUUAAUUUUCCUUUUUCCUGCAAUAGUUUCCUUGCCUCACCAUUACCUGCUGCCUGCAGACUUAUUUUUGUUUAUUGGUUUAUUUUCAUUAAAACCCCCUGAGCCAUUUUUUUUACCUUUUUGAUGAGGUCAUUUUUCAGUGUUAUGUUAAAGUAUGAGUUUGGUUCUCUGAGUGGAUAUUUUUUUUUAUUGUGUGUUAUUUACAGUUAAUGACAGUUCAAUUAUACAAACAAAAUGUUACACAAAAGGUUGCCAUGUGCUGAUGAAACUCAGUUAUUCAGUAAGAAUCCCAAACCUACACAACAAACAAGGAACUACAUAUGCAUCCUCUUUAUCAUCUGUACCAGGCGACACUUUGGCCAGACUUUUUGGCACCAAGGUUGCAGGGCACUAAUGCAUAUUUGUUUGUGACUACUUUUUUUUCUUCCUUCUUCUAGAGCAGGUUUAGAUUUAUAGGAACCUGCUACAUGUAUCACUUACCAUAUUUCCUACAGAGUGUUUGGAUGCAGAAGACAUCACAUCAGACAGUGGAGUAGGGAGCUCAUUCAGUUGGUGUUUUCAAAGGUUUCACUCUGAACAAUGGCAUGGAACAACGCCUCACUGGACAACAGCUCUAAUUAGAACAACAUCACUUCUGACUCCAGUGAUUAUUACAUUAUACCCAUAUUUGUGGGAACCAUUAUCAACUUUUUUACGAUCCUCUAUAUCAUCUACAUUGUUUGUUCUCUGGUAUGUAAAUUUAUCUGAGAUUUAUUUAUUAACUGUCUGUUUUAUGUGUUUGUCAUACAGUCUGUUUAGGAUUUUGAUAUGGCUUGGGGGCUAUGCUAGGCGGCGUAAUGGCGGGAAUUCUUAUGAUACUGCUGCAGAAUCUGUGUAAAAACUAUUUUUCUCUUUCUCUCAGCGCUUCAUUCCAAAGAUAAUGCAAACGAGUUUGCCUAUAUGCUUUUGGGAUGGAUUUCCAUAUGAAAAGGUGGAAUCAUAAUCAAACUUUUCCCCUGACUUUUCAUUAAGCGUGAUCCUCAUCAAAAAUGUAAUUUGUCCAAUUCUUUGGUCCAUGACUAAAUACCUGCAAUUCCAAUCAGUCAGAUGCACUGUGUUGAGUCCUAAAUAGAAGGUUUUAACAUGCUAACAUGCUAUACUAAGCAUUAGUAUUACAUACAUUACAUUAUAAUUAAGCUCUGUAAACAUGUCUCCUCCUAUUAUUUGUGAAAUGUAUAUGCAUUGAGGAGAGUCACAAACUGAGUGUAUUUUCUCCACUCGUUACACAAUUCUUUGCAGGAUCAUUAGUAGUAAGAUUGCCCUUUAAUCUGUUUUACUGAAGUGGUAUGGAGGAGUUCGGAUCAGUCAGGGCUAUGCUAACUUAAUAUAUAGUAAAGUAAAAUUCAAGUAACAGACACAUAGUUUCAGCACUUGCCAAGUAGUCCAACUUCCUCUCUUGCGUUUCUUCAAGCAAUCUCCCUUUUUGUCUGUUCUCUGUAUAAAUCAUAGAUCUCUGGGGGCCCACAGAUCGUUUGAAGUGUUGGUGACGCCUCAAUGGCUCACAGCAGACAGGUUGAGAAACUAGACUCAAGAUGAAUUCAUGUUUUAAUCCCAAAAGUUAAAAAUAUUGUCUCUUCUUGUCGGUACAACUCCAGAACCAAGCAGAAUCUGGUGACUACAGGUGUUUAUUCCUGCAAAAGCUGCAGCUCUACAGAGCUCCUCUGGCUCAAGCAGCUGUCUAUCUGUCCUGUUCCCACACAACACUGCCACAGCCCUGUGAUACGCAAGAAUGUUUUUGCUUAAAGUUGAUGAACUUUGCUGAUGAAAAAUGCAUAAAUGUCUCUGACUACAAUUUUUGGUCAGGGAAAGAUGACAUAUUUGGGAGGAGGUGAAGUUCACAAUAUGUUUACAACUGCUUGCUUACUUUUACCAAUGUUUUCCUGCAGGUGCGAUAUGGUUGUGUUGAUCCAAUCUACAUCGUCCGCAAGUCACUUCUGUUUUCAUUGAGUGCUGCCGAAGGAUCAUGGAAUCAGAUGAGGAUUGAACGAUAUCUGUAAGUUGUGUGUGCUUGUUAUGACUCUGAAAGUAGAUAAUAC
ensembl:lncRNA